AAGGUUUUAAGUUAUUAAAACUGUUAUCCUUCAAAGUUGAAAAUAUAAUUUUAUGUUAUAAACCUUA
rnacentral:tRNA from 1 species